rnacentral:pre_miRNA from 3 species
UCCUAUGGAUGAGCAAAGAGUGGUUUCUUGAGAUGGAAUCUACUCCUGGUGAGGAUGUUGUGAA